CCUACGGGAGGCAGCAGUGAGGAAUAUUGGUCAAUGGGCGAGAGCCUGAACCAGCCAAGUCGCGUGAGGGAGUACUGCCCUAUGGGUUGUAAACCUCUUUUGUCGGGGAGCAAAAGCCGGACGUGUCCGGCUGUGAGAGUACCCGAAGAAAAAGCAUCCGCUAACUCCGUGCCAGCAGCCGCGGUAAUACGGAGGAUGCGAGCGUUAUCCGGAUUUAUUGGGUUUAAAGGGUGCGCAGGCGGAUUUUUAAGUCAGCGGUAAAAUCGUGGGGCUCAACCCCAUCCAGCCGUUGAAACUGGGGAUCUAGAGUGUGCGAGAGGUAUGCGGAAUGCGUGGUGUAGCGGUGAAAUGCAUAGAUAUCACGCAGAACCCCGAUUGCGAAGGCAGCAUACCGGUGCACAACUGACGCUCAGGCACGAAAGCGUGGGUAUCGAACAGGAUUAGAUACCCUAGUAGUC
rnacentral:rRNA from 1 species